GGCACUAUGGCCGAGUGGUUAAGGCGAGAGACUCGAACUAUCUCUUGGGCUCUGCCCGCGCUGGUUCAAAUCCUGCUGGUGUCG